rnacentral:lncRNA from 1 species
UAUAAAUGAAGAUAUCAUUUUAAUAUGAUAAUAAAUUAUACGGAAUCUUGCUACAGAUUUUUUACACAUUUGUAGAAUUUCGAUAAAUAUAGUCAUUCACAAGAACUUGGCUAGUAUUAUAAAUAAGGGGUGCCAAUGGUUGAAGUGUGAUAUUUUCAAGAUAUUGACUAUAUUUUUUUAUUUUCGGUACGCUAAUUCACUUUUAAAUUAAGUGAUUUUAAUAAUUGGAGUUGCUCUAAUAUGCCCGUAGAGUUUCGACAAAUAUAUUCAUUCAUAAAAUGUUGACUAUAAUUUUAGACAAAGAGAGAGUCGCUUUAGUAUGCCUGUACCCAAAUAUAGUGCUUUCUACUCUACAUAUUUCUUAUUUACAUUUUCUUGAUCAACCUCAUUCCAGAUAUUAUGAUCAUUUACUAUAAUUAAUUUGAAAACAUUCAUUUUUCCUAAAUUGUAUAAUUUUUUAAAAAUGGACAUCUAUAGUAGGGGUGUAUUCGAUUGGGAUUUUAAUGGAUUAUUUUUAGUUUAUGAAUUUUAAUAGAUUGUAUGUGAUUUUGAAGUUUAAAGUCCUGCAUAUAUUAUGCAUACAACCUGUAUACGUAUAUUAUAUUAGGAUCCUCUAAACAUUUCACAACUGUUAGUCACGAUUCAUAUCGAUUUAGGAUGGCGGUUCUUUCGAUUGGUUGAGAGUGUCAUCCGGAUUAUCUUUGAUUGGUCUCUCUGUUCUGAGUUACUUGUACUUUAUUUCAGAGUUGUUUCUUCUUCUUUUUCUUGUAAGAUUUUAUGGUCACGACUGUUCUGCAAAUGUGUUGGAAUUGUUCUUCACAAAUGUUCUUCACAAUUCACGUGUCUUUAUGGAAUUCAACAUCAAAAUUUUGUCCUGCACUUCAAAAUGUUCAUACACCAAAAUCGAAGACAGGUAUCUGGACUCAUUUUUGAUGUUCUGCAACAAUGAUGUAAAAUGGUUUGAAACUCCCAAUCUUCAAUCCCUAACUCCCGCACUUGAUAUGCGCUACAAUGUUUAUCUUGAUCGUACCUUGAUUUGAUUUUGUGGAGAAAGUGCAGGACUGCACUUGACUAGUAACGAUCUUUGAAUGGAG